rnacentral:sRNA from 1 species
GAAGAGUAUAUUUGGACUGUGACUCAUGUCAUCCCAUUGGCCCGAUACCAUUGAGACGGCUGAGUAUCCACUUCCUUCUUAGCUGCUCCGUGUGGCUCCUCCCCAAGCCACACACUUGGUGGAAGAGGAUGACCUCAUGGAUAAAGGAAGGCUGUUCUUCAGUUAUGCGUAUAGAGUAGCUGUGAUUCCUACUAGGAUCUUCAAACAACGUGUCAAUAAUGCAUGGACCAUAAGGGCCAGUGGGAUGGCUCACCAGGAAAGGCAACAGCCACCAAGCUUGGGGACCUGAGUUUGAUCUCUGGGCCUCACAUG